rnacentral:lncRNA from 1 species
CCCCACCUCCUCCGGGAGGACGCGCACCUGGUCCACCUCCCCCACCCCCUCCUGGAGGGCGUGCACCAGGUCCACCUCCCCCACCUCCUCCGGGAGGACGCGCACCUGGUCCACCUCCUCCACCACCUCCACCAAUACGUGGAGCUCCACCGCCUCCUCCUCCUCCUGGAGGUCGUGCACCUGGUCCACCUCCCCCACCCCCUCCGGGAGGACGCGCACCUGGUCCACCUCCUCCACCGGGAGCUCCAAGACCUCCAGGUGGUGGACCUCCCCCACCACCACCGUUUGGUUCUAAAGGACCUGCAGUUGGCAGAGGCCUUCCUGCUGGGAGAGGGCAGGGAUUUUCACGCGCAGCUGGUGGUGUAGCCCCACGAAGAUCUAACUUAAAGCCGUUGCAUUGGAGCAAGGUAACUAGGGCACUUCAAGGAAGCUUAUGGGAUGAACUACAAAGAAAUGGAGAGACUCAAUUGU